CGCAGGUAUAGCACCGCGCGCGCUACAGUCGAGCGGAACCGUACCGCGACCAGACGCGAACGCUCUCCGGUCCGUCGACCGUCAUUCGUACGACUGCUGCAAUCAACAACUAACGUUCUCGCAUCGAGUUCUCUCUUUUCACUGCCUCCAUCAUAAAACACACUCAGUUCUUGUUUCGACAUGAUAUUAUUAUAAUAUUAUGUACUCCGCCGCCGUUCCUUAUACUUGCCGUACUUACACUCACCGCGCCAUAAGAUUAUCAUAUUUUUUUACGUAAUUUGUUUUUAUUCUUUUCGUCCGUCACCCGAGUAAAACUGUCGAUUCUCGCGCCGAUAUCACGAUUAUAUUGUAUUAUUAUUUUGUGUUUGAUUUUUUUCCGGUUUUUUUUUUUUUAAUUUUAAUUUCAUCACGGCCCCCUCAACAAACACUCAACAACGAUCGGCACAACUCGACAAUUCGCGCUCAUCUUCAGGCUGCACACUGUCCUCCGAUACAUCUUCGGCGACGAUCAACCGACGAAAUUGUUAUUGACACUGAUCAAUCAUGCACUCGAUCUACUGGGACAGUGCGUAUAAAGUUGAGAUGUGGAAUAUUGAACCUGCAUUUGGAACCAUAUAUAUACUUUUCAGACUAAAAUCACAUUUGUUUUCACACCGGUGAUGGAAAUUUCAAACGCACUGUGGUCGAGUACUAUAUCCAAACUCCUCGGCACGGAUACUGACAAGCGACUGUGUAACGAAUUGAUGACGUGUACCUGCAUAAUGAUAUUUACCGAGCAAAAUAUGUUGUACGAAAUAAAACUCAAACAAGAAUUCGUCUGUCGGCGAUUAUAUUAUAUAUAUUCGAAUGAGUUGUAAUCGCACACGCUAUACGACAGCAACAAUAAUGGUGUGAUCGAUAAUACUCGAAGACACCGUUCCAUACAACAUAUUACCAUCGCGCAUCGGAUCACCACAAGCAGUCAGAGCUAUUAUUACCAUGAACUGUUGAGUGUCGACGACAGAAACGAUAUUGUUCCCCGGAACCCAAUGCGAUUUGUCGCGUGUCAGUGUGCCGCCAGACGCAGACGAUCGGUACAUUGUCGUGCAGUCGUCAUCGUAGCUCACAGACCGUCACCAUUAGUGCGUUAUUUAAAAUAUAAUCUGUACCGUCGAUAAUAUUACGUUAUAAUACAGUUAUGUUAUGCGAUCGCGUGUAACGGUUUUUAAUAAAGUAAUAAUUAGGGCUGUGCAUUUGAAGGAGAGUGCAUUUUUUUUCUUUUGGUAAUCGUGAAACCUAGCUUUGUAAGUACAUAAUUUGAAUUAUGUAACUAUACGAAUCCAUUUAUGUAACUUUUA